CAGGCUUAACACAUGCAAGUCCCCCUUCAACACGGUGUAGCUAUACAUUGGUGGCAACCGGUGCACGGGUGAGUAACGCGUAUGCGACCUAGCUAUCAGAGGGGAAUAACCCAGCGAAAAUCAGACUAAUACCCCAUAAAACAGGGGUUCCACAUGGAAAUAUUUGUUAAAGAAUAAUCGCUGAUAGAUGGGCAUGCGUUCCAUUACAUAGUUGGUGAGGUACCCGCUCACCAGGUCCACAAUGGAUAGGGGUUCUGAAAGGAAGGUCCCCCACACUGGUACUGAGACACGGACCACACUCCUACGGAAGGCAGCAGUGAGGAAUAUUGGUCAAUGGGCCAGAGCCUGAACCAGCCAAGUCGCGUGAAGGAUGAAGGAUCUAUGGUUUGUAAACUUCUUUUAUAUGAGAAUAAAGUGAGGAACGUGUUCCUUUUUGUAUGUACCAUAUGAAUAAGCAUCAGCUAACUCCGUGCCAGCAGCCGCGGUAAUACGGAGGAUGCGAGCGUUAUCCGGAUUUAUUGGGUUUAAAGGGUGCGUAGGCGGUUAAUUAAGUCAGCGGAGAAAGUUUGUGGCUCAACCAUAAAAUUGCCGAUGAAACUGGUUGACUUGAUUAUAUUUGAGGUAGGCGGAAUGCGUGCUGUAGCGCUGAAAUGCAUAGAUAUCACGCAGAGCUCCGAUUGCGAAGGCAGGUUAUUAAACUAUAAGUGACACUGAAGCAGGAAAGCGUGGGGAUCAAACAGGAUUAGAUACCCUGGUAGUCCACGCAGUAAACGAUGAUUACUAGCUGUUUGCGAUACACAGUAAGCGGCACAGCGAAAGCGUUAAGUAAUCCACCUGGGGAGUACGCCGGCAACGGUGAAACUCAAAGGAAUUGACGGGGGUCCGCACAAGCGGAGGAACAUGUGGUUUAAUUCGAUGAUACGUGAGGAACUUUACCCGGGUUUGAACGCAUAUUGACAGCUCUGGAAACAGAGUCUAUAGUAAUAGCAAUUUGUGAGGUGCUGCAUGGUUGUCGUCAGCUCGUGCCGUGAGGUGUGGGCUUAAGUGCCAUAACGAGUGCAACCCUUAUCACUAGUUACUAACAGGUCAAGCUGAGGACUCUAGUGAGACUGCCAGCGUAAGCUGUGAGGAAGGUGGGGAUGACGUCAAAUCAGCACGGCCCUUACAUCCGGGGCGACACACGUGUUACAAUGGUGGGGACAAAGGGCAGCUACCUGGCGACAGGAUGAUAAUCUCCAAACCCCAUCUCAGUUCGGAUCGAAGUCUGCAACCCGACUUUGUGAAGCUGGAUUCGUUAGUAAUCGCGCAUCAGCCAUGGCGCGGUGAAUACGUUCCCGGGCCUUGUACACACCGCCCGUCAAGCCAUGGGAGUUGGGGGUACGAAAGGUCCGUAACCGCAAGGAUCGGCCUAGGGUAAAACC
rnacentral:rRNA from 1 species